GCUGGGAAUGGUGGCCCAGACCUGUAAUCUCAGCAACUCAGGAGGCUGAGGCAGGAGGAUUUCAACUUGAACUUGAGUUCAAGGCCAGCCUGGGUAAUUUAGUGAGAACCUGUCUCAA
rnacentral:sRNA from 1 species